AUUUGUAUGGGAACUGUUGAAUCAUGGCCUGAAUCUCUGAUUGACCACCUGAGCUAGAACAAGUUGGCACCAAUAUUUUGGCUAUUGCUGAGCAGUUCUGCCGCAGCACCAAGGCUGACUCUCCAACUCCCAGCCCUAACAAAGGCAAGCACUGAAUCAGCUGCGGGAGCACAGAUGAAGACAAUUCUCCUGUGUGACUGGAAGUGGGUGGACCCUGGUUUCACAUCUCCUAGACCCCAUUGAAGGGCUGACUGCCUCCGAGGAAGGAUCUCUUUCUGGAGAUUGCUCCUUGUGGAGUUCCUCACAAGCCUACAACACUGAAUGAUACUGAAGUUUAUUGAAAUUCUCCAGUGGCUACGUGAUGAUCAUCUUCAUUUCUCAACAACAACUCCUCGGUCUCUAAUUUUCUCCUCCAUGGAUAUUCUUCAUUUUAGAGGUCUUGCCAUUUCACUAGUUGCCAAGUCAAAGUUAAUUUCUCUAAUGAACGGAGCCACAGCAAACUGUUGCUUGUGUAGCAUUUGAACUAAUCAGAAGUUCCACACACAAAUUCAGGGGCUGACUCUCAAGGUCUCUCUGGUGAAGAGACCUCUCUUAGCACUGCUUUUAUGUCCUUCACCUCCUCCUGUCCCACAGGACCUGAAGGUGCUAACACUGACUUAUUCAAAGCUCUUCUGCAAACACAAGAAGGCUGCUGUCUUUAUACCAUGAGAGAAAUGUACUUUUCAGGGGAAGUACCAUGAAUCAUGGUUAUUCCAUACAGCAACAUUCAAAGCUAUUGCUUUCAGAGGACAGUGAACACAUCCUCUUACUUCAUAAGCAUUGUGCUCGAUGAAAGAUCUUUCUGACUGUUCUGCUACCCUUGAAACAAACAGGACAGGAAUUGUCAUUCCCCUUGUCAGAAGGACCAUCUGCCACUACAUUAGGACAGUCUUCUAUUAAAUUCACCAGCACUCUAAUUAUAGGAUGACUAGCAAAUGGUUAAACUGCCAGAUGCUAUGAAGAUAUAUCACUGUCUCUUUAGGUGGUUAGGCAAACGUUUAAUUAGACCUACAGCUGCUGUGUCUGCUUUACCUACUAACUUAUCCAAAUUGCAUUCACCUGUGGGAAAGAUGGAGCUGCUGUCCUCUGAGAAGAAAAGCAUCUUAAGCCAAACUUUACUGAAACAUACAGCAUGUAGACAUGUGAGCUUCCACCUUGAAAAAAUAAGCAGUAUUGGGCUCAGGGUGUUUAACAGUCUGUGAAGCUGUUUAUUCACAGAAACACCAAAGGGCAGAACCCUGCAGUUUUCCCAUUUGGUACAUGGCCUUGGCUGAAACCUGCAGAGAAGGAUUUUAAAAAAGCAUAUAAAUCCUUAUUUUGGAAAGUGUACUUGGCUCUGCUUAAUACUGCAAGAUCUAAAGGUCAUAUCCAGAAAAAUAGGACUUUGGGAUCUAGCUAAAGUCUAUCCUCCAUUCAGUCUCAUUACUUUUAGCCUUCUAUUUUAAGGGUUUAGGAACCAGGUUUCAGAAGGGUACUUUAUUUCCAUCUAGUGCUGCAACUGAUAUUUGCCAUCCCAAGGUACAGGCACUGUGGUGACCAAAGAUGCAAGUGGGCAACAAGCUUAGAUUCAGCCUUAAAGCUUGAGGCCCUUGUCAGGAGCUUUGUUGGGUAGCAGCAUCCUCUGUGGGGCAUGGCCUGUUGCUCUCCAUUGAUUGCAGAAAGCACUGUGUGAAACUACCUGAAUUGUACUGAUGGCAAAGAGAACUCAGCGUGGUUUUAACCCAUAUCUACCCUGACCAUGCUUUAACCCAGACAAUUCAUGAGCACAGCAUUAAUUACAGGCCAAAGAGCAGUGCCAGCAGGCAGACAAUCUGGCCGUGUGCUUUCAUGGAUAAGACUAUGUUAUAAUAUGUGUAUGCUGCUGUGUGCCACUUGGCUGUUGUGCCAGAACACUAGCAAGUGGAGAAAGAAAUAAAAUUCUUGGUGCUAUUCAGGAGAUCCCAGGGAACUGGGCUUUAGGGAGACCAAGGAGGAGUCUGUAGCUUCUACAGAGAAAGUCCUAGUUACAGUAAUUUCACUGUGUUUUAAGCCUGCCUUAUUUAUAGUUUCUUCCUCUGCUAGCGCCAGUUUUCCUGAUCUGUCUCUUUAGGCAUAUACAGCCUUCCCUCUUGGGCACAGAUAUUGACACUGAGAUUCAUAUGAUGGUUAGCUCAGAUCUGGAUGCUUGUAGCAUGUCUCAAGCAGAGAAUAAGCUGAAAUCCAGGCAGAAUAUUUGGGAGUAUACAAUAUUGGUGUCUCAGGAACUGUGUUCAGCGCCUAGGAGUCUGCUUGAAGUUCAUGGUAAUUUGCCUGGGAAAACAGACAGAAUACAUCUGUAGUUUUAUCUUACAGUUUUACUUAAUCUCAGCGGUCGUUAAUCGGGAUGAAGCGUGUUCUUUCUUCCCACACUCUCAGUAUCUGUGUGCACAGUAACUUUCUCUGUGGUCUGGGCCUUAUACACCAAGAAAUAUUUUCUCUUACAAAGCUCUGGGACCUAGAAACUUGGAAAAGCAUAAGGAGAGCUUGCAAAGGAAUGGCUCUGCAAAUUGCUCAGUGAGAUGGCUCUGGAAAUUGUUCUUCUUUUCCAUUUGCAGACAUAAAAUUUGCUGACUUUCCAAGCAGACAGCAAAAGACAUUUAUGUGAGAGGCUUUUCAGAGGUGAUAGAAACAUACUUGCCAGGUGUCAGCAGGGGUAGAUAGCUGAGUGAACUGCUGAGUGAACUGCUGAGUUUUAAUUCAGUUGUAUUUUUGCAUAAUUUAUUAUGGCAGCCCCCUAGAGCCUUCGGAACCUAUCUUGAUUAUUUUAUGUUUAAAUAAAUAAAUAAAUGAUGGGUUAUUGAAGGAACUGGCACUCAAUUUCAAGAGAUGAACCUGAGGCACAUCAAAGGCAGGCUCUGAGUGCCAAAAUCAACUGCAGUUUUACGGCUAUGCUAAGCCAUGCAAUUAUCUUAAACCACGAAGAUCUUGUUGGAUUUGCAGGGGGAAAUUUAGCAUCAAUCUCUGUACAGAGAACAAACAAACCAAAUCAGCGCUGCGUUUUCAUAUUAACACCGCACGAGGCUGCCAGAAGUGAAAUACUGUCUGUGUUCAGAAGUGCCACUGGUUGUCUCACAGCUAAAUAAAACUGUAUACGUGUUCUGAGGAGCUUGUGUCUGUACAGAGCAUAAUGAUCUGUAGAGAUCAUGACCAGCAAGGUAGCUGAGCAGGCGCUUUGGCUGUUGAAAAUGGUGCUGGUUAAGUCAGCAUUUUACCUUGUUCGGAUAUGCAGCCAAUCCUCCCUUCAUUCACUGUUGAACACGUUUUUUCAGACCUUUCACCUAUCCCUUGGGAAAAGAGACUACAGGAACUAACCUUGAGACAGAUAAGGCAGGAGGAUGAUGGAGAACUACUCCCAGGGCGGGAAAACAGGAAGCAAUGACAGCAACAGCAAAGAAGGUUGCAAAUGUACUUAGAAAAAAGAAAACCAAGUUGUAACAUUUGUUUUAAACCCAUGGAAGAGAGAGUAAGCAGCAAUGCAACAGGAUUAAUGAUGUCAAUAAAUAAAUAAUGGUAUUUUCGUUGCGUAUCACUCAUUGAUCACUGUCAGCAAGAGCACAGCUUCUCCAGUUUCCUCCCCUCUUAGCUGGGCUGGGAUCCAGUGGGAGAACAGAGUUGGGACAGCUUUCAUUUGAAAGACAAUUUAUUUAUUAGCCAGGCAGAAAAUCCUAUUAAAAAGAGAGGGAUUUUCAUGAUUGAGCUGCAGUAUUCAUUUUCAAGUAUUCUGCCAAAAAAAAUUAGGCUGUUUUGCAUAAGAUGAAACCAUAGUUUUGGACGGGACCUUGAGCAGGAGGUGAGGAAUGUGCUGUGUUCCCUGUGAGACAUCCCAGGAGUUACUUUGACUUGAGAGACAGAAGAUUCCUUCCCUGCCAAGUUUUUUGGGCUUUUUUUCCCCCUUUUUUUCUGGAUUAAACUAACAGUGUCUGAUGGGAAUGUCUGCUUCCUGGCAGGGCCUGAGCGUGUGCAGUGCUAGAUGUAAUUUGUGUCACUCCCUUUCUACCCAUCUGGUGAGACUGUUUUGGCUAUAAUAAGGUGAUGAGCCUUGGUUUGCCUGUACUGCUAACCACGUGAGGUGGGAGUGAGCCUGAGGACUGGACCCUAACUUGUUUCUGCUGAAAGUUUUGUUUGCUUGCUGGCUGGCUGGCUGCUCCACUAAGUGCUUUUCAAGACAAAGCUCACGCAUGCUGCUGAGGGAGAGGUUUUUUUUCCAGCAACUGCUCCCAAGAGGCACCAUGGGUAAGCUCAACCCUACCCCAGAAAGCUCUGACCCCUCCUGUAUGGGCAGAUGGCCUCGUGCCACACACAGGUGUGAAUAAAACACCCCCUCAUGGGUUCACAUUGCUUGGAGCUUCAGAGCGAGCCUUGGGGUAUGUCAGGCAUGUGGUAGGUGAGAGGGCUGGCCUGGAAAUUCAUACCAUAGAAGUGUUUCCUGUGUUGCAACUGAAACUGAAGCAAAGGUCAGUUUUGCAGUGUGAACACACAGAACUUUUUCACGUCAGAAUCUCUACAAAUGUGUAUGGACACAAUGGGCUGGCCUUUCCCUUUCUGAAGUACCUUCUUUUGCACCAGGCAUGCUGUUGGUUACCACAUUGCAGCUGUGGGAUGGCAAAUUCCUGCCAGAGGGGAACUAUCUUCUGCAUAUUACUUCAUUCAGUCACAAAGCACUCAUAUGACCAUCUCACAGGACAUUUUAGCUGGAACAAACCCAGCAGGAACUGUCAUGUGGAGUUGAUUAGGUUUCAACUCUGCAGUGCCAUGGCCUUUCAGCUGAUGGGAAACUGCCCAGAAAGUCUUUCUUGGGAAUUGAUUUUCUUCUUUAAUGUUGCUAACAGCAUAUGUUGAUAAUAAAGAUUAUCCCAGAUAUCUCUAAACAAAAAUGGCAUCCCCCCACUGUGGUUCACUUGUGAAAAAGCCUGGUCCAAAUGCCUUUCCAGAUCCAAGGACUGAGAGAGAAAUACAACAUGCAAAAUAAUUAUUGUAAUCCAUCAAUUUUGCAGAAACAAAGCAGAACAACAAACAAUUAUGAUAGCAAAUUGAAUCAUAAAAUGGCAAUAUGCCAAGCUCUAUAUCAGCUGGGUCUUUUCACUUGUCUGUUGGCAAAAUAAAGAGGAUUAGGGGGAUGACUCAUCUGGUGAUUGGAAAAUCUACUUCGAAGUUGCAAAGGAAAUUCAAGCCCCAACAGUUCAUAAGCAGUAAUUCACUGCACAUAAACUUCUGCUCACUUAAAGCUCCCAUCCCCAGCUUGUAAACUGUGAACACUGUGGGGCAGCAGAACCAGCCCAGCUCUGGUGCUAGCCCUGCAGCUCUGGGUUGUUCCUGCUUGUAAUUGCUGCAGUCCCUGUGAGUGGGGUCAUGUCAACAACAACAGAAACGUGGUGUGUUUGCACAGGGGAAGUCCUAUUGCUGCUGUAGCUCUCUGUGACUAUUUUAUUACUGACUGCGGUGCAGUCAGAAUUUUAAUCUUUCCCAUCAGUUUUGUCUCGUAUGUCAGUUCUGGAUUCCUCCUAUACUGAGGCUGGAUUCUUGAAUGGGGAAAGCCAGCAGUGCCAGGGAGCUCCCAGCAAAGUGCUCAUCCACUUCUUACCUCCACCCUAGCCUCCUUCAGCCCAAAGCUGCUGCUACAGUGUCACCAGGCACUUGGAAUCAUUGAAUCACUAGUGUUGGAAAAGGCCUCCAAGAUCAUCCAGUCCAGCCAUCCACCUACCACCAAUAUUUCCCCUUAGUACAACAUCUAAAUGUGUCUUGAGUCCCUCCAGGGACGGUGACUCCACCAUCUCCCUGGGCAGCCCAUGCCAGCACCUGACCACCCUUUCAGAGAAUAAAUUUUUCUUAACAUCCAAUGUGAAUCUCCCCUGGUGCAACUUGAGGCCAUUCCCUCUAGCCCUAAUUUCCUCUAAUCUUCAGAAGAACUGGAGCCGUGCUCCUCUCAGCAGUCUGGUGAAGAUGUAGAUAACAGGUUUGCGUACGUGCUACGUGGUUAUGCCUCCACUGUGCAUAAUUGCACCGUGUUGAUGUUUGGCAAGUGCCAUCUGGUUUUCAUUUUCCUUCACAGCAUAAUUCAUCACCUCCACCCCCACAGAUUUACAGUGCAACUGUAUUUCUCCUUUCAAGACAAUUUCAGCUACACAGAGUGUGUUUUGAUUUAUUUUAACUGAACCCAACAGACACUAAUAUCAAAUCAUUCCCCUUCAAAUUAAAAGGGAUUGGAUUUGCAAAUUUUAGCAAGAUAGGACUACUCAUAAAAUCUUAACUGAUAAAGUAAUAAGAUGGCAGGGAGGAGAAAGGACUAACUACACAACAACUCUACUCACCAGAAUCUGGGAAAAUACUCUGGAGAAACAUUUCAAGCACAUGAAAACUCAUCAGAACUACAUGAGCAAUAGAAAAAAAACGAGUGAUUAGAGGAAAUGUAGAGAGGAAAGCUCAGUACUGGGAAUCACUUGCUCAGUACUUCCUUUUGUAACUGAAAUUCCUAUCUUUAUUUGCAAACAAGAAGCAUCUUUCAGGAAAGCUGUUUGUGAGAGAGGACACAGUCCUGUGUACCUGCGUGUGUCUGCAUGCAGGCAGGGCAAAGGGGGGAGAAAACUGAAGCCAGAGGAGGAACAAAAGAGCUGAUUGCAGAAGUAACAAAAAUGUGUAACUGACAAACCAGGAAGGUUGCUUUUAUCCUAUGUUUGUGAGAAUUCCAGUGAACAGUUCUCUCCGCUUCUCUUACACACAUAUGCUGUGAACACAAUCAGACAUAGCUGUAAGAAAAACUGCAAAUAGGAAAUAAGAUCCAAAGAAGAAGCCCUCCUCUGUUGGCACUGAUUAUCUAUCUAUCUAUCUAUCUAUCUAUCUAUCUAUCUAUC
rnacentral:lncRNA from 1 species